rnacentral:rRNA from 1 species
AUGAUCAUGCGUCCCAUUAGCUAGGUGGUAAGGUAAGGGCUUACCUAGGGAACGAUGGGUAGGGGUCCUGAGAGGGAGAUCCCCCACACUGGUACUGAGACACGGACCAGACUCCUACGGGAGGCAGCAGUGAGGAAUAUUGGUCAAUGGGCGCAAGCCUGAACCAGCCAUGCCGCGUGCAGGAUGACGGUCCUAUGGAUUGUAAACUGCUUUUGCACAGGAAGAAACACUCGGUCGUGACCGAGCUUGACGGAACUGUGAGAAUAAGGAUCGGCUAACUCCGUGCCAGCAGCCGCGGUAAUACGGAGGAUCCAAGCGUUAUCCGGAAUCAUUGGGUUUAAAGGGUCCGUAGGCGGCCAGAUAAGUCAGUGGUGAAAGCCCAUCGCUCAACGAUGGAACGGCCAUUGAUACUGUUUGGCUUGAAUUAUUUGGAAGUAACUAGAAUAUGUAGUGUAGCGGUGAAAUGCUUAGAGAUUACAUGGAAUACCAAUUGCGAAGGCAGGUUACUACAAAUUGAUUGACGCUGAUGGACGAAAGCGUGGGUAGCGAACAGGAUUAGAUACCCUGGUAGUCCACGCCGUAAACGAUGGAUACUAGCUGUUGGGAGCAAUCUCAGUGGCUAAGCGAAAGUGAUAAGUAUCCCACCUGGGGAGUACGUUCGCAAGAAUGAAACUCAAAGGAAUUGACAGGGGCCCGCACAAGCGGUGGAGCAUGUGGUUUAAUUCGAUGAUACGCGAGGAACCUUUACCAAGGGCUUAAUGUAGAUUGACCGGUUUUGGAAACAGUACUUUUCGCAAGACAAUUUACAAGGUGCUGCAUGGUUGUCGUCAGCUCGUGCCGUGAGGUGUCAGGUUAAGUCCUAUAACGAGCGCAACCCCUGUUGUUAGUUGCCAGCGAGUCAUGUCGGGAACUCUAGCAAGACUGCCAGUGUAAACUGUGAGGAAGGCCGGAUGACGUCAAAUCAUCCCGGCCCUUACGCCUUGGGCUACACACG